GUGAAUCAUCAAAUCUUUGAACGCAAAUUGCACUCUCUUCGGAGAGUAUGCCUGUUUGAGGGUCAGUAUUAAUAAAAAUCGGCGUGUUUCUUCUUUGUGACGCUCCGGAGUUUGGGUCAUCUUAAUAUCCUUUAGGUUUUAAGAGGCUUAAAAUUGACUUUUUUUGCGAAUUUUAGAUGUAUAUAAAUUCUUUUUUUUUUUCUUUUGUUUUAAUGCUUAAAUUCUUAUUAGCUGUGACCAUAACGUGUGGCUU
rnacentral:misc_RNA from 1 species